rfam:Orenia sp. Z6 2524618313, whole genome shotgun sequence.
UUCCCGAAACGGCACACUUAUUGAAAGAUAAGGUCGCAAAGUUUUUGAGUCUAAGGUACAAUCUUGUACUAAGAUCGUCAGACUAUCGAA